rnacentral:RNase_P_RNA from 2 species
AUUUAUGGAUAAUUGCGCAUUCUUUUUGAAUGUGAGUAAAGUCCAUGCUCACACAAGCUGAGAAGCUUGUAGUGUUCAUGCGUGUCCAAACAAUAAGACACGGUCUUUUAUGAAAAUAAAAGAAACGGCAGUUAAACGAGCUAAGGCUUUGCUAUGCUCAAGUAGACUUGAAAGUGCCACAGUGACGAAGCAACAACGGAAACGUUGUUGGUGGAACGGGUAAACCCCAUGAGUGAGCAACCCAAACUACGGUAGGGGCACUCUUUUCGCAGAAUUCAAUGUAGAAAAGAGGCGAUUACGUUUAAGUAAUCGCAGACAGAUAAUUAUCUCUGGAAAGAUUGCCUAAGAUUUUUCCUAGACAGAACAUGGCUUACAAUA